AAAAGACAUCAUGAAGCUGGAGAACCCUGAAUGGAGACUUGGAAGACAAGUUGGAGGUCUCCAGAGUGGAAGGGCUUGCAGGCAGUAAAUUGCCACUUGCAAGAGCCUCGGGUGCCAAUGCAGUUCCUGGAAAUGAGGGAUAAGAUUGAGCACAGAAGACUCAAAAAUAACCGGGCGCUCCUCAGAGGGAUCUGUGUCUUGGCAAGGAGGAAAAUCACCCCAAUGCUGCCUGUGAUUCCAGACCCAGGGCUAGUCAGUGGGACCCAAGACCAUGAACUCUGCUCACACUGCAGAAGAUGCGGAGCAAGGGGCCUGGGUUUCUAGUCACCAUGCUAUCCAAGAGCUGCUCUGUAGACGUUUCAGGCCAUUAGUACAAAAAUAAAUAAAUAAUGCAGGA